GAUGAACGCUGGCGGCGUGCCUAAUACAUGCAAGUCGAGCGAACAGAUAAGGAGCUUGCUCCUUUGACGUUAGCGGCGGACGGGUGAGUAACACGUGGGUAACCUACCUAUAAGACUGGGAUAACUUCGGGAAACCGGAGCUAAUACCGGAUAAUAUUUCGAACCGCAUGGUUCGAUAGUGAAAGAUGGUUUUGCUAUCACUUAUAGAUGGACCCGCGCCGUAUUAGCUAGUUGGUAAGGUAACGGCUUACCAAGGCGGCGAUCCGUAGCCGACCUGAGAGGGUGAGCGGCCACACUGGAACUGAGACACGGUCCAGACUCCGACGGGAGGCAGCAGUAGGGAAUCUUCCGCAAUGGGCGAAAGCCUGACGGAGCAACGCCGCGUGAGUGAUGAAGGUCUUCGGAUCGUAAAACUCUGUUAUUAGGGAAGAACAUACGUGUAAGUAACUGUGCACGUCUUGACGGUACCUAAUCAGAAAGCCACGGCUAACUACGUG
rnacentral:rRNA from 1 species